GCUAGGUGUGGUGGCGCACACCUCUAGUCCCAGCUACUUGGGAGGCUGAGGUGGGAGGAUUGCUUGAGCCCAGGAGGUCAAGGCUGCAAAGAGCAGUGAUCACACCUCUGCACUCCAGCCUGGGUGACAGAGCAAGACCCUGUCUCAA
rnacentral:SRP_RNA from 1 species